GUAGGGGGCUAGCGUUGUCCGGAUUUAUUGGGCGUAAAGCGCGUGUAGGCGGCCAGGUAGGUCCGUUGUGAAAACUCGAGGCUCAACCUCGAGACGUCGACGGAAACCCUCUGGCUAGAGUCCGGAAGAGGAGAGUGGAAUUCCUGGUGUAGCGGUGAAAUGCGCAGAUAUCAGGAAGAACACCCGUGGCGAAGGCGGCUCUCUGGGACGGUACUGACGCUGAGACGCGAAAGCGUGGGGAGCGAACAGGAUUAGAUACCCUGGUAGUCCACGCCGUAAACGAUGGGAACUAGGUGUGGGCGGUGUCGACUCCGUCCGUGCCGAAGCUAACGCAUUAAGUUCCCCGCCUGGGGAGUACGGCCGCAAGGCUAAA
rnacentral:rRNA from 1 species